UUGAUAUUAUAUCUAUUUCAUCUAGUGACCAUUUCCAGUUCUGUUUUUGGCCAAUGAUUUCUUCGAUGUGUUUUGGUUCGUUUAGUAUGUGAGUGAUUAUAUUAACUUGUUUCUUUAUUCCGCAGCAGUUGAUUUUUCUUUUGAUUUCGAAUCUUUUCCAUAAGCUAAACCAUUGUCUCGGUGUUAAUGGUUGGUACCAGAAGGGUUUUAUCUUCAUGUUCGGAUUCAUUAUUGUAUCUAUUGUUUGGUGUUUUUUUCUUAUUUUAAUAAUAAUAUUAUUAACCAUUUUGUCUAUUAUUUUGUUUAUUCCAGAUCCAUGUGUCCAUUUGAUGUCCCAAUGUAUUGAUAUUCCUGGAUUUCUUUUAGUGGUUUCCCAUUCACUCACACACCAUGUCCAUUCGUUGUGAUCCAUUAAUGAUAUUAGUCCUCUUAGAUCAUUGCCUGUUGGUGAUUUGGAGUAAAUUGUUUUGAGUAGUUUGUUGCUAAUGGGUACAUGUUUGAAUCCUUUCUUUUUGGUAAUGUCGAUUACGACGGCAAAUUUUUAUCGAGAUGAUUAACGUGGUGUCGUUUCUGAAUAUACUAAUUCUUGGGAAUUUACAUUCACAUGUCGUUUUUAUGUUGGCAAUUUCGUUUUCGGUUAUCACUCUUGUUGGUUUUAUCGGAAUGUAUUGAUUUUUGAUAUCCCAUUUCAUUAUUGUCUUUAGUUGUAUUCUUAUUAUUGAUGGAAUUUCUAAUAGCAUUUCUUGUGACCAUCUUUCCAUG